GUCCGUAACCGACACGGGGAAGCCUUGUUCAAGGUGUAUCUGUUGAUGGAAGGUAAGAGUUUCAAUAUUUGGAUCGCCGUUUUGCUUACAGCAGGGAUAAUACUGAUCGCUGAGCUAGCUGGAAUCCUCAUCUACAAGUAUAUACAGCGGAGGGAAGAUGUGACAAUGGAGAAGGCUUCAGGAAACCAAGACACCAAUGUAAUCUACUGCCCAAACUCUGCCACCAAUCAGGUAGUGGAUCUCUGCAUUUAAUCUCAACUACAGAUGAUACAA